rnacentral:lncRNA from 1 species
UUAAUUCCAUAAGUUCCCAGCUGUACUUCCACCUCCGGGCAACAUCCGCUUGCAGAUUUUUUGUAGCCAUCCCCUAGCCUCACCGUAUAAGUUGGUGUUGCUUCAACUUUUAAACCCAAUUGACUUACUAACUCUGUUGAAAUAAAGUUGUGACUGGCCCCACUGUCAAUUAGCACCAGUGCGGUUCUUCCCUCCACGGUGCCUUGUAAUUUCAUGGUGUGUGGCUGUGUUAAGCCCCUGGCCGAGAAAAUGGAUAGGUCCAUUUCUGGGUUUCCCCUCUCUUCCUCCUCAUCAUGACCAUUCUCUUCACUCAAAUCCCUCUCCUCUUCCGCACAAAUGAUCACCCUCAGAUUUUUCUCUGGGCAGCGGUGGCCCGGGCUAUACGCCCCGCCACAAUGGAAGCACCUGCCCUCUUCUCUCCUUCUA